UACGUAGGGGGCAAGCGUUGUCCGGAAUCAUUGGGCGUAAAGCGCGUGUAGGCGGUUCGGUAAGUCGGCUGUGAAAGUCCAGGGCUCAACCCUGGGAUGCCGGUCGAUACUGCCGGACUAGAGUUCGGAAGAGGCGAGUGAAAUUCCCGGUGUAGCGGUGAAAUGCGCAGAUAUCGGGAGGAACACCAAUGGCGAAGGCAGCUCGCUGGGACGUUACUGACGCUGAGACGCGAAAGCGUGGGGAGCAAACAGG
rnacentral:rRNA from 1 species